GCGCAAAUUACCCAAUCCUGACUAAGGGAGGUAGUACUUAUUCACUAUGUAAUAUGUUCUGCAAUUACUAUUCCGUAUUUUUAAAAUAUUAAAAUUUA
rnacentral:rRNA from 1 species